CUUCGCCACAGCAAGACUAACAAACAACGAUCACUAAGCGUGCUUUAUCUGACUCGUUCAAUGACGUUUAGUUUCAAGAGCCGGUCUGGACGCAGUGGCUAGAGGAAAAAUACUCUGUCCCCUUCGGGAAUCGAACACCGGUCGUCCAUCCCGGGCUGCUCACUAUACUGAGUUACUCCGACAUAUCGAAGUUAUAAUGACUGAUAAUAGCGACUUUAAUAAAUUAUCGACACAGCCAACAAACCAACCAACGCUUGGUAAUUAUAACAAAUUUCACAGAAAAAUCCCACAAGAUGUCAACAACUGAUAAUGUACAUAAUAUGAAUAAUGAAUUCUCUGGACUUGGCGUAUCUAGGAA